GGCGGAAUGGCCGAGUGGUCUAAGGCGCUAGAAUCAGGCAAUAUAUGCAAUCUAGUCCGAAAGGGCGUGGGUUCAAAUCCCACUUCCGUCA